UGAAUGCACUUAUGGUAAGUCGCUUUGGAUAAAAGCGUCAGCUAAAUGACAUGUA
rfam:Gasterosteus aculeatus cont1.002927, whole genome shotgun sequence.